rnacentral:rRNA from 1 species
UGAAUACGAGAUGCUACGGCGUCGAAGCAGUCUAUGUCAUACUUCCAAGAAAAGCUCGCACUGUCAUAAACAAAUAAUGCCUGUACCAUAACCGACACAGGUGGGUAGGUAGAGUAUACUAAGGGGCGCGAGAUAACUCUCUCUAAGGAACUCGGCAAAAUGACUCCGUAACUUCGGGAGAAGGAGUGCCUUAUUUAUAAGGUUGCAAUAACAAGAUCCAAGCAACUGUUUAUCAAAAACACAGGUCUCCGCUAAGUCGUAAGACGAUGUAUGGGGGCUGACGCCUGCCCAGUGCCAGAAGGUUAAAGAAGUUGGUUAGCAUUCGCGAAGCUGAUAACUGAAGCCCUGGUGAACGGCGGCCGUAACAAUAACGGUCCUAAGGUAGCGAAAUUCCUUGUCGGGUAAGUUCCGACCCGCACGAAAGGCGUAAUGAUUUGGAUACUGUCUCGGAGAGGGGCUCGGUGAAAUAGACUUGUCUGUGAAGAUGCGGACUACCUGCACCAGGACAGAAAGACCCUAUGAAGCUUUACUGUAACUUGAGAUUGAAAUUGGACUUUACUUGCGCAGUAUAGGUGGUAGGCGUUGAUAAUAUUCUUGCGGGAUUAUUUGAGCCAUCAGUGAGAUACCACUCUUGUAAUGUUAGAUUUCUAACUUUGUAUCAUUAUCUGGUCAAAGGACAGUUUCAGGCGGGCAGUUUGACUGGGGCGGUCGCCUCCUAAACGGUAACGGAGGCGCACAAAGGUUUCCUCUGAACGGGUAGAAAUCGUAUCUAGAGUGUAAAGGCAUAAGGAAGCUUGACUGUGAGACCUACAAGUCGAGCAGGGACGAAAGUCGGUCUUAGUGAUCUGACGGUGCUGAGUGGAAAGGCCGUCACUCAACGGAUAAAAGUUACUCUAAGGAUAACAGGCUGAUCUCCCCCAAGAGUUCACAUCGACGGGGAGGUUUGGCACCUCGAUGUCGGCUCAUCGCAUCCUGGGGCGGUAGUACGUCCCAAGGGUUGGGCUGUUCGCCCAUGAAAGCGGUACGCGAGCUGGGUUCAGAACGUCGUGAGACAGUUCGGUCCAUAUCCGGUGUAGGCGUUAGAAUAUUGAGAGGAGCCUUCUUUAGUACGAGAGGACCGAGAAGGACAUACCUCUGGUGUACCAGUUAUCGUGCCAACGGUAAACGCUGGGUAGCUAUGUAUGGAGUGGAUAACCGCUGAAAGCAUCUAAGUGGGAAGCCCACCUCAAGAUAAGUAUUCUCU